UGAGGGAGUGUGCGUAAGAACUCCACUCCAAGAACUGCUCUGGUGUACUUCCCCGAUAUCAGAGUCGGACUUGGAGCGGGGCUCUAUGCAUACUUAGCUCAGCU
rnacentral:ncRNA from 1 species